rnacentral:rRNA from 1 species
UACGGAGGGUGCAAGCGUUAUCCGGAUUCACUGGGUUUAAAGGGUUCGUAGGCGGUGCGGCAAGUUGGGAGUGAAAUCUCUGGGCUUAACCCAGAGGCUGCUUCCAAAACUGCUGUGCUUGAGUGUGGGAGAGGCGCGUGGAAUUGCAGGUGUAGCGGUGAAAUGCGUAGAUAUCUGCAGGAACACCCGUGGCGAAAGCGGCGCGCUGGACCACUACUGACGCUGAGGAACGAAAGCUAGGGGAGCAAACAGG